rnacentral:rRNA from 1 species
ACGAACGCUGGCGGCGUGCUUAACCCAUGCAAGUCGAACGGAAAGGCCCUGCUUUUGUGGGGUGCUCGAGUGGCGAACGGGUGAGUAACACGUGAGUAACCUGCCCUUGACUUUGGGAUAACUUCAGGAAACUGGGGCUAAUACCGGAUAGGAGCUCCUGCUGCAUGGUGGGGGUUGGAAAGUUUCGGCGGUUGGGGAUGGACUCGCGGCUUAUCAGCUUGUUGGUGGGGUAGUGGCUUACCAAGGCUUUGACGGGUAGCCGGCCUGAGGGGGUGACCGGCCACAUUGGGACUGAGAUACGGCCCAGACUCCUACGGGAGGCAGCAGUGGGGAAUAUUGCACAAUGGGCGGAAGCCUGAUGCAGCAACGCCGCGUGCGGGAUGACGGCCUUCGGGUUGUAAACCGCUUUCGCCUGUGACGAAGCGUGAGUGACGGUAAUGGGUAAAGAAGCACCGGCUAACUACGUG